rnacentral:rRNA from 1 species
AGUGAACGCUGGCGGUAGGCCUAACACAUGCAAGUCGAGCGGCAGCACAGUAAGAGCUUGCUCUUACGGGUGGCGAGUGGCGGACGGGUGAGGAAUACAUCGGAAUCUACUUUUUCGUGGGGGAUAACGUAGGGAAACUUACGCUAAUACCGCAUACGACCUACGGGUGAAAGCAGGGGAUCUUCGGACCUUGCGCGAUUGAAUGAGCCGAUGUCGGAUUAGCUAGUUGGCGGGGUAAAGGCCCACCAAGGCGACGAUCCGUAGCUGGUCUGAGAGGAUGAUCAGCCACACUGGAACUGAGACACGGUCCAGACUCCUACGGGAGGCAGCAGUGGGGAAUAUUGGACAAUGGGCGCAAGCCUGAUCCAGCCAUACCGCGUGGGUGAAGAAGGCCUUCGGGUUGUAAAGCCCCUUUGUUGGGAAAGAAAAGCAGCAGGUUAAUACCCCGCUGUUCUGACGGUACCCAAAGAAUAAGCACCGGCUAACUUCGUG